GAUGGAGCAGGAGCUUCAUGCAUUUACAAGAAUCCAGGUAUAGUGAUAUAUUAAACAAAAAGGAUGGACAAGAAUCCAAAUAAUUAUUGAAAUAUUGAGAGCCUAUUAUAUGCCAAAAAUGUUGAAGAAAUUUAUCAACUUGCCUUGUUCUGCCAUUGUGCAGUUUCUUUUAAUCCUUAAAACCACUUGAAAAUUCAUUUUCUAUGUCUAUGUCUAAGUUUAUCAAGAUUUCUGCCCUGGGCAGGAGCCAGUCUUCCCUGAAGCAUGGGUUCACAUGCAGGAAUACGGACAACUGGGUUUUUUAAAAAAAAAAAUAGUUCACCCAGAAAGAAGAGGAAAAUAGCAAUUAAGUAGAUAAUCACCAAUGUCUGGAAGAAUAAUUAAAAAAUCUAAAAGACCAUGAAAAUAUAAAGGAUUAUGCCUGAGAAAAGAAAAUACUAGAAGAAGAGGCAAGAUUUCAAAUAAUAAUUUGGUAGAGUGUAAAAAAAUUUCCUGGAUAAUUCCCUAGAGCUCUCUAUUCAAGUAGCAUGUUAUCUUCUUUGGUAGAAAGAAAGAAGAUGGUGGCUAGGGAAUAUUUAUGUCCCACAUCAAAGAAGAAUUGAAUUUAUUUUUAUUUAAUUUCUGUCCUGAAAGAUACUCUGCAACUCAUCCAACCAUGGGUCAAAGUGUAAUCCAAUUUUCUCACUGAGCUCAUUGACAAAUCUUAACAAGAUUAAGACUUUAAGGCAGAAACUUCUCUGAUGUUUCAAAAGGCAAUAGCUUCUGACUGAUUUUCUUGCACAUUUGACCAUUCCCUGUCUUGUUAAGUUGCCAUUUGUUUUUUAAAAAUUUUUAUCACUUGUACGUUCUUGGUCUUUUUCCUUUUCAGAGGCAAUGGUGCUUUCUAUUUGCCCUUUAGCUGACUGAAAGGCCAGGUGGCUGGAUAUGUGAAACUAUAUUCUGAAAAGUCUCAAAGAUACUAUAAAUAUUACAAGGAAAAUAUGUAGUAUAGAUCUGCCUAACAGCAGAAUCAUGGAUUGUUAAAUCUAAAUUCAUGAGUAUAGUAUAGUAUACUGUGAGUACAGGAAAAUAGGAAGAACAUACACGUGAGUUGAAAAGUUCGUAAAUAACAGAAGUAAAAGAGGGCAGCCUGGGUGGCCCAGCUGUUUAGCGCUGCCUUCAGCCCAGGGCAUGAUCCUGGGAUUGAGUCCCAUAUCAGGCUCUCUGCAGGGAGCCUGCUUCUGUCUCUGCCACACACACACACACUCUCUGUCUCUCAUGAAUAAAUAAAUAAAAUCUUAAAAAAAAAAAAAAA
rnacentral:lncRNA from 1 species